CUCAUACCUGAAAACCAAGUGCAAAACAGUUCCUGGAGUCCACACACCCAUUUGAAUAAGGCCCCUGCCAUCAUUUCAGGGCUGUCUUGUGCCCCUUGUGAUUAUUUAAAAGUGGCAGCAUAGUGACGUAUGACGUAUGAUGCUCUUUUUCCUUUUUAAGAUUUUCCCUUCCUUUUUUUCAUGGUAAUUUACUGCUCAGUUGGAGAGAAGUGAAAAAAUUAUGAGGUGAGACUUUUCUGCCAGCAAUGACCCUCAGUAGCACUGUGUCCCAGGGAACAGUUUCCCCUUUGGCUGGCCACCCCGGCUAUAGACAGUAGUGGCCCCUCUCCAGGUGGGGUUUCUGAUGGCAUCCUAAAAGCAGUUGAAAAUAAAAUAAUAGUCCUUUUGCUUAACUUUUAUUCAUGAUUUAAUUUAAAACACUGCUACUUCCUUAAUAGCUUUUACCAAGACUUCAGAGGUUCAGGAUCAUCAGCACUGCCACAUCCUGUGUGGGGAUUUUAUGGAGCAGGAUGAGCAUUAGUGUUUCUUCCUCAGGUCUGGGAGGGUGGAGUACGGGAAAGGAGGAGGGAAUAUCAGAAUAGGUGUGUGGUUAAUAUUUUAGUGGUAUGUGUCAUCCGGAAAAAGACAAUUUCACUUAACUUCUGGGCAAAAACAUUAUGAAUUCAUUUUGAUGCAUGGGAGAUUGAGGUUUGGGACAUCGGUGGUAAUAUCAUAUCCGUGUUAUGAGCCAACAGCAAAUUACCAGCAUGGUGAUCAUAGCCCUAGGCUAAAGCACCUUAUAAUUAAGGAUGUGUGAGGUGAAUUGUGUCCGAAUCUGAUUACUUCCUAGAAUGCCCAAUGUGCAUUUACCAAAACAACAAAUGCGCAGAGCACGUGAACUGCAGAGGGGUAGAAUGUUUGCCAUCAACGAAGGCAGAAAAAUAGGGACUAAAAAGAAAUAAUGAGACCUGUCAAUUCUCAUCAGUCUUUCUUUUGUUCUACUCACUUCAUUCUGAAGUCUUCGGCAGCCAGUCUCGCGUUGUCAAUCUGCAGGAUGAGCUGGGCAUUUCCAAUGGUGGCGGAAAUGAUCUGGCCAAAGAGGGGGAGACACACAAAAUGAGGACGGAAAAUACUAGUAUUAUGCAGGGACAGGAAUGAUGAACCCAGGGUGAAAUCCAGUUACAACUUCCUUUUACCUUACGAUGGAAGGGACACAUGUGAAGAGAUGUAUUUCCCCCCCUCCUAUACACAUCACAAAGAGCAAGCCGGUGGGAUUUCCAAAUAAAGGGGUUUUAAGCAAGACAUUUGCAGAAACUACAUAUUCUUACAAUAAAUAUAGAAAAGAUGCAGUGAUCAAAUGCAGACUCUGCUUGAUGAGAGAGGCCAUAAUCCGUUGGUUUCAUUUCUUGAGAAAAUGGAAACGUGUUAAAUGGAAAUAACCAGGGGCCUCAGCCUCCUAUGGAAAUUGUUACCAAAGGUUCCUUUAAUCUGUAUUACAAGCACUUUGAAUGAGAUUGUCUUUGUUUGAAUCGUUGAUAGUGAUAGUGGGCUUACUACAUUCUAGACAGUGGGCCAGGUAAACUGCAGACGUUAUUUUUAACCUUUGUGGCAACCUCUUCAGUUGGACACUUUUGUCCCAUUUUACAAGGGAGCAAUCUGAGGGUCACGACGUCAAGUGACUUAUUCAAGGCCACAGAGCCAGGAGGUGGCAAAGACAGGAUUCAGGUUGCAGUGUGUUUUAUAGACAACAUAACCCUGCUUCUUAUGGUGAAAACAGAAAAGACAGAGGGUCACUCAGAGCCGCCAGCCAUGAGACUGGGUUUCUGCCCUGCACAUCAACCAGGGGCUUUCGCUCUUCUUUUCAAAAAAGCUUUCUCCUUGAAUUUCAUUUCUCAUUGUACAGGCUGAGACCGAAAGAAUGACACGAGACAUGAAAUCCUGCAAACGCGUGGGCAAAUGUCGUUUUAGUUAUUCUUUUGACAUGUAACUGCAUUGUCAGAGAUCAUAUAAAGUACUAGUUCAACUUGCACUUCCUGCACAGGAGCUUGAUGUUAUGGUCAUUAAUUUUUGCUUAUAAGCUGCUCCCCCCCAACCUGCCCCACCAAGGGGGAGUCCAUUGUGAUUGCCAUAGAAAUGAAAACAGUUUAUUACUUGCUUACAGACUGGAGGGAAUGUGCCAGAUGCAGACUUGUAACUUAGUGAUAUCAUCACGUGAUAUGGGAAUAUGAUUAACUUGAAUUCUUGAACUUGGAGCCGGUUUUGUCCUGACAUGUAUACUUUCCACCUCUAAUGCCUAUAUGUAAAUUUAAAACAAUUGUGCUCAAGUAUCUAUACUUGCCUUUUCUGGGAAGCAAAUCUUAGAAGUGAGUCUAGGGGAGAGAAAACAAAUGUUUGAAGGGAAAUUAAAAAAUAAAAAGCACUAGCUAAUACUUUAAGUUGGAAUUGUUAUUUGAGACUGUCCCCAAGUCAGUAAGGGUGAGAGCACAGGGAGAGCACUGGUCAUGUUUUGAUUUUAUGUCAUUCGAUGUCAUUCUUUCUAGAUGUUAUAAGGCUCUUAGUAGGUGUAAUCCCCCAAGUCCAUCCUAGCUUCCCCUCUGGGGUUUCUCUCGCAGUGUGAUGGGACCACUUCGGCACUGAUGGUUUCGUAUGAAGUCAUGAAAUUCCAAUGCGUGAUAAAGAGACCCAUAUUUAGGGACUACAGAUCUUCUCUGGAUCUGUAUGCCUGUCAGAAAUAGGGUCAUGCUGUUCCGUGUCCUAGCUGGUAUAAGAAGUAUAGAUAUGGAGAUUAACACUUCACCUUCACACAGUAACUACUGGAAGAACCAGAGGUAGAGCCAUCUGGUUCCACAUGUAUGUAGUGUUUCACUGCUUUCGAAAUUCGAAAGAUUGUUUGGAAGAAACUAGAGAUUGACCCAAAGGCAAGGAUUAGUUUUCAUUUUUAUGAUAGGAAAUUCAGUUAAUAGUAAUCCUAACUUUUGAACAAAGUAUCAUUAUUGCCUAGGGCCGUGGGCAAUAAUUGUCAUAUUGAUGAUGGUCAUGCCUAGUGAAUUUCAAUCCCCACCUCCUGUAGGGUUUUUACUAAUCAGACUCAGUUUCAGUAUUUGCAUGUCAAAGUUACAGACUAUUUUGGAAUGUGUUUCGGUAGGAGAAAAAGAAUUCACUGUUGUGUAAUUAAUUGCUUAUAAGGGUAUCAUGACUUCAGACAAACAGUCCUGAGGUUCAGUCUUGCUCCAUGACUUGGUAACUGUAACUUUGGGAGACUGAUUUCAUAUCUUCAUAUAUAAUCCUCGUUCAUAAAAUGGGGAUAAUAGAAUAAGGCCAACCCAUAUGAAAUUGCUAUUUUUUAAAGGUAAAAAAUGAUCACGUAUUGGCAAGAUCAUAUGAUUCAACUUAAUAACUUCUACUUCAUGGUGUCAGUGUGAGGAUUAAAUGAGAAAUGCAUAUAAAAUGCCAUGCAUACCGGUUUGCUCAUAGUAAGUGCUCAAUAAAUGGUAGAUACUAUUAUCUGUAAGCAAAUCACAUUAUUAUUUUCAAUAUCAUCACACUCAAAAUCCUGUUUACUUACAAACUUAUGUAUCAAAAUUUAAAUCCAAGCUGUUCAUUUACUAGAAUAUGACGAGAGAGGGCAAAAUGAUUUUUCCUGUAAACAUUUGCAAGGCAGUUACUGCUUCCUGAAAUGCAAAAUGGGUGAGAAUACAGUAUGUAUCUUUUUGGGUCUGACUUCCCUCAGCAUAGUGUCUUCAAGGUUCAUCUCUUUGCACUGUGUAUAAGUUGCCAAAUAAUAUUCUGUUGUGGGACCUACUGCAUUUUGUUUAUCCAUCGAUCAGCGCCCCAACAUUUGAGUUGUUUCUACUUUGGGCUUAUGGAUAAUGCUGCUACAAACAUUUCUGUACAAAAGAACAAAUUAUUUGAUUCCAUUUAUUUGAAAUGUCCAGAGUAAGCAAAUCCAUAGAAGUGGAUUUGGUUGCCAAAACUGGGGGGAAGAGAAGUGGGGGGUGACUCCUACUGGGGUUUCUUUUCUUUUGUUUAAUGUUUAUUUUGAGAGACACACACAGAGAGAGGUAGAGAGAGAGGGAGAGAGAGAAUCCAAAGCAGGCUCUGUGCUGAGGGGCUUGAUCCCAUGACCCUGAGAUCAUGACCUUAGCCAAAAUGCAGAGUCUGACGCUUAAUGAACUGUGCCACCAGGCACUUCUGGGGUUUCUUUUCUGAAUGAUGAAAAUGUCCUAAAACUAGACAGUAAUGAUGGUUGCACAAUCCUGUGAACAUCCUGAAGACCACUGAAUUGUGUACUUUAUGAGGAUGAAUUUUAUGGUGUAUGAAUUUUAUCUCAUUAAGGCUAUUAUUUAAAAAAAAUAGUGAGAAAUAUUUCAUAACAUACAUUCACCCCAUAAAGAAAGAGAACACCUGAUGAUUU